UUUUUUUUCCCUCUUAAUUCGAGUUUAGUAAUCUGAAAUGGGCGCGCCUAACAGCAGAGUGAGAGAUCUAAAUUGAGACAGGACUUGGAGGCUCCACCCCUCCCAUCCCCAUUACAAUGGCGCUUCUCGCUGCUGUGGCAAACAUCGCAAAUCCAGGGGGUGAGAAAGCAGUUGCUAAACGCAGGCGGCCCCACCUGGCCCGGCGUCCCAGCUGGCCGCGGAGAACAGAGCGCGCCCACUUCCCCGGCCCACCGGGUUCCUCAGGCUGUUUACACUAGCGCUCUACCAACGAUGCCCAGGGAAAAUGUUAUGAUUUAUCACCUUAAAAAAAAAAAGAAGAAGAGAACUCGCACUGCAGACGUUAGGUGUUGCUACUUGGAACCCUGAAAAAAAAUUACCUAAGAAGAUGCCUUUAUAUUUUUGCUACAGAAAGAAUUUGGUAGAACUGUAAAGCUUGGAGCAAUCUCUGAACACAGUUAGGGUUGGGUUGGCUCUCCUGUCAGAAUGAAGGCCAGUGGCCGGUGGUGCCCAGGAGUUAUUGAUGCCCAACGCUGUCUGGCUUCUUUGCAGCUCCUCUCUCCUGCUCUCUGGCACUGCCACCAUCUUCAGAUGACUCAGGUUUCACCAUGACUACACCAUAAAAGCAGGGAACUGCCAGAAACUGUUGGAAAACAGACACAUUCAGUCCCUGACAACUUAAACUUUCUAAUUCAUGGAGCGGUUUUAGAUGGUAGCAUUCUAAUAUGGGGCAAAAUGCAAACGGAAAAGAGGUCAGCAAAAAGAUGUCUCAUGACAAAGCUAUGUGCUAAAUAAGGAAAAGUGAGAAAGUAGCACCUAGACAAACUGUGGUUUGGGGAAUCCAGAAACUUGCUUUCCUCCCUUUCCUGUUCCACCCUUUUUCUCCCUGCUGAACAGCUUGCAAAGGUCCUUAUGUCCUUUCCUUCAGGCAGCCUAUCUUUAGUGGCCAACUUCCUGUGCAGGCAGGACUUAGGAAUGGUCAAAAGUGUCUGUGUGGAUCCCUGGGUGCUGACCUGUUCCUGACACAGCUGUUACUACUGGUCUCCUCACCUCCGUUGUUCAGAGAGGAGGACCAUGGUCAAGGGUGGGCCAAGCACCAAGGUCUAACUCAGUGCUUCUCACAUGCCAAUGUGUGUGAGAAUCACAUGAAAACAGACUCUGACUUGGCAGGUCUGGAACGAGGACUGGGAUUCUGCUUUACUUUAGCAGACAGUAGGCCAUGGAGACUCUACAAGUGGGGGCAAUUUGGGGGCAAUUUGAUGAGCAAAGGCAAUUAAGAACACAGAAAAUUCUUCUCAAUCUUUCACUUCAUAAAGGUGGAUUAAUAAAUUCAGGUUCAUUCUAGAGGUAGGCAAACAUAAGAGGGACUGCAAAAGAUUAGAUGAUAAUGUUGCCUCCCGAGAAGACUUACAGAAAGUCUUAGAACCACAUUGUAUAAAUCUGUGUGGAUUUUAAAGUGAUGCCACCUUCCUGUUUAUGCCCUCCUUCCCACAAUACACACUUGUCGAAAGGCGUAGUCAUGCAAAAAUUUAGGCAUAUGGAUUUGCAUAGAGAUGAGGCUAUUACAUGCCUGGCACAGAGUAGCUAUUCAAUAAAAAUGUGUUAAAAGGAUUAAUGAAAAAUGUUCAUCUCAGAAGUGGGAUUUUUUAUUAAGAAAAACUGAAAAUGAGGCCAGGCGUGGUGGUUCACACCUGUAAUCCCAGUAAUUUGGGAGACCGAGGCGGGUGGAUCACCUAAGGUCACGAGUUCGAGACCAACCUGACCAACAUUGUGAAACCCCAUCUCUACUAAAAAUACAAAAUUAGCCAAGUGUGGAUGGUGGCACAUGCCUGUAAUCCGAGCUACUCAGGAGACUGAGGCAAGAGAAUUGCUUGAACCUGGGCGUUGGAGGUUGCAGUGAGCCGAGAUCGCAGAAUUGCUCUCCAGCCUGGGCAACAAGAGCAAAACUCCGUCUC
ensembl:lncRNA CD109-AS1 CD109 antisense RNA 1